AGCCAAGAUGAGGAAAGAGGAAGAUAGCAAACUGCUUAAGGUGCCACUGUGGCAUAGAAAACACCAUUGUCAUCCUCAAGGAUUUGUCCAAAUGUGCAAGAAGUGGUAUCUAUCAAUUCUGCAACAAAAAAGGCCUUAAUGUCGAGAAGGUCAAGGUCAUGCCCACCGAUGUAAGGAUCGACUGAUAUUGAAAGCUUUGGUGGCUCCCCAUUAUCUACUGACAACCCAUAGAUAGAUAAUGGGGAGCCAACAAAGCUUUUAAUAUCAGUCGAUCCUCACACUGGCGGAUAAGACCUUGAACUCAUCGACAUCAAGGCCUUUCUUUUCGCAGAAUUGAUGGAUGACAUUUCUUGCGCAUUUGGACAAAUCCUUGAGGAUGUCAACGGUAUUUCUGUGCCACAGUGGCACCUUAGGCAGCUUGUUCUCUUCCUCUCUCUUUAACUGGGCUUCUAGCUUCGUUU
rnacentral:pre_miRNA from 1 species